UUUGAUGGCGACCGGCGCACGGGUGAGUAACACGUAUCCAACCUGCCGAUGACUCGGGGAUAGCCUUUCGAAAGAAAGAUUAAUACCCGAUGGCAUAGUUCUUCCGCAUAGUGGAACUAUUAAAGAAUUUCGGUCAUCGAUGGGGAUGCGUUCCAUUAGGUUGUUGGCGGGGUAACGGCCCACCAAGCCUUCGAUGGAUAGGGGUUCUGAGAGGAAGGUCCCCCACAUUGGAACUGAGACACGGUCCAAACUCCUACGGGAGGCAGCAUG
rnacentral:rRNA from 1 species